ACAGAAAGCGAGUAAAAGUUAAACGAUGCCAGCAUGAGUUUUACACAACAUUUGGACCGCAUAGGGUAAAUAGUUGACAAUUGGGACAUGUGAAAUUUCAUAGUAAUACGCUUCGUAGUAUACAUACGGUGUUGCUACAGAUCAUUUUUUCCAAAACCCUAAUCGCCAAUACUGGAAAACAACUCAGAUGCCAGAAACUUGUUUUGCUGAUAUCGCUUUGAUAGAUAGUGAUACCCUCUGCCAAAAUCA